rnacentral:tRNA from 1 species
GUCUUAAUAGCUUAAUCUUCAAAGCAUUAGUCUUGUAAGCUAAAGCCGGGAAUUCAAAACCCCUUAAGACA